rnacentral:rRNA from 1 species
UACGGAAGGCAGCAGUGGGAAUAUUGCACAAUGGGCGAAAGCCUGAUGCAGCUAUGCCGCGUGUAUGAAGAAGGCCUUAGGGUUGUAAAGUACUUUCAUCGGGGAGGAAAAACAAAACUAAUAAUUUUAUUUCUUGACGUUACCCGAAAAAGAAGCACCGGCUAACUCCGUGCCAGCAGCCGCGGUAAUACGGAGGGUGCUAGCGUUAAUCAGAAUUACUGGGCGUAAAGAGCACGUAGGUGGUUUUUUAAGUCAGAUGUGAAAUCCCUGGGCUUAACCUAGGAACUGCAUUUUGAAACUGAAAUACUAGAGUAUCGUAGAGGGAGGUAGAAUUCUAGGUGUAGCGGUGAAAUGCGUAGAUAUCUGGAGGAAUACCUGUGGCGAAAGCGGCCUCCUAAACGAAUACUGACACUGAGGUGCGAAAGCGUGGGGAGCAAACAGGGAUUAGAUACC